rnacentral:rRNA from 1 species
AGAGUUUGAUCCUGGCUCAGAACGAACGCUGGCGGCAGGCUUAACACAUGCAAGUCGAACGCACCGCAAGGUGAGUGGCAGACGGGUGAGUAACGCGUGGGAACGUGCCCUUCAGUUCGGGAUAACCCAGGGAAACUUGGGCUAAUACCGGAUACGUGCGAGAGCAGAAAGAUUUAUCGCUGAAGGAUCGGCCCGCGUCUGAUUAGCUAGUUGGUGGGGUAAUGGCCCACCAAGGCGACGAUCAGUAGCUGGUCUGAGAGGAUGAUCAGCCACAUUGGGACUGAGACACGGCCCAAACUCCUACGGGAGGCAGCAGUGGGGAAUAUUGGACAAUGGGCGCAAGCCUGAUCCAGCCAUGCCGCGUGAGUGAUGAAGGCCUUAGGGUUGUAAAGCUCUUUCGUCCGGGACGAUAAUGACGGUACCGGAAGAAGAAGCCCCGGCUAACUUCGUGCCAGCAGCCGCGGUAAUACGAAGGGGGCUAGCGUUGUUCGGAAUCACUGGGCGUAAAGGGCGCGUAGGCGGCCUGAUAAGUCGGGGGUGAAAGCCUGUGGCUCAACCACAGAAUUGCCUUCGAUACUGUCGGGCUUGAGACCGGAAGAGGUAAGUGGAACUGCGAGUGUAGAGGUGAAAUUCGUAGAUAUUCGCAAGAACACCAGUGGCGAAGGCGGCUUACUGGUCCGGUUCUGACGCUGAGGCGCGAAAGCGUGGGGACAAACAGGAUUAGAUACCCUAGUAGUCC